rnacentral:rRNA from 1 species
AACAAGGUUUCCGUAGGUGAACCUGCGGAAGGAUCAUUACUGAGAUGAAGUAAUUCCCUCGAAAGGCCUUCGAUUAGGCCGGCCCCUCGGGCCGGCCGAAAGAACCUCUCGCACCCUUGCGUACCUCACCGUGUUGCUUUGGCGGGCCGACCCGGUUUCGACCCGGGCGGCCGGCGCCCCCAGCCCUCAGCGGCCAGGACGCCUGGCCAAGUGCCUGCCAGUACACAAAACUCCAGCGAUUAUCCCGUGCAGUCCUGAAACAUCAUUAAAUUGAAUCAAAACUUUCAACAACGGAUCUCUUGGUUCUGGCAUCGAUGAAGAACGCAGCGAAAUGCGAUAAGUAAUGUGAAUUGCAGAAUUCAGUGAAUCAUCGAAUCUUUGAACGCACAUUGCGCCCUCUGGUAUUCCGGAGGGCAUGCCUGUCCGAGCGUCAUUUCAACCCUCAAGCUCUGCUUGGUAUUGGGCGACGUCCGCUGCCGGACGCGCCUCGAAGACCUCGGCGACGGCGCCACAGCCUCGAGCGUAGUAGUGAAAUAUCUCGCUCUGGAGCCGCUGGGCGACGGCCGCCGGACAAUCGACCUUCGGUCUGAAUUUUCCAAGG